CCGCCCGUCCACCGCCAUCGGAAGCGUGUGGAGCGCCCGAAGUCCGUGUCGCAACCCGCAAGGGGCGAAGCCGGCCGAAGGCGAGCGCAGUGACUGGGGCG
rnacentral:rRNA from 1 species